rnacentral:rRNA from 1 species
GACGAACGCUGGCGGCGCGCCUAACACAUGCAAGUCGAACGGAGCUGCGAGAAGCUUGCUUUUCUUAGCUUAGUGGCGAACGGGUGAGUAACGCGUGAGUAACCUGCCCUGGAGUGGGGGACAACAGUUGGAAACGACUGCUAAUACCGCAUAAGCCCACGAUCCGGCAUCGGCUUGAGGGAAAAGGAGUUAUUCGCUUCAGGAUGGACUCGCGUCCACUUAGCUAGUUGGUGAGGAAACGGCCCACCAAGGCGACGAUUGGUAGCCGGACUGAGAGGUUGAGCGGCCACAUUGGGACUGAGACACGGCCCAGACUCCUACGGGAGGCAGCAGUGGGUGAUAUUGCACAAUGGGGGAAACCCUGAUGCAGCGACGCCGCGUGGAGGAAGAAGGUUUUCAGAUUGUAAACUCCUGUCGUCAGGGACGAUAAUGACGGUACCUAACAAGAAAGCACCGGCUAACUACGUG